rnacentral:rRNA from 1 species
GAUCAUGGCUCAGGACGAACGCUGGCGGCGCGCCUAACACAUGCAAGUCGAGCGGAGAACAAAGAGCUUGCUCUUGUCUUAGCGGCGGACGGGUGAGUAACACGUGAGCAACCUGCCUUAAAGAGGGGGAUAACGUUGGGAAACCAACGCUAAUACCGCAUAACAUAUUAAGACCGCAUGGUUUUAAUAUCAAAGGAGCAAUCCGCUUUAAGGUGGGCUCGCGCCCGAUUAGGUAGUUGGUGAGGUGAUGGCUCACCAAGCCUGCGAUCGGUAGCCGGACUGAGAGGUUGAUCGGCCACAUUGGGACUGAGACACGGCCCAGACUCCUACGGGAGGCAGCAGUGGGGAAUAUUGCACAAUGGAGGAAACUCCUGAUGCAGCGACGCCGCGUGAGGGAAGAAGGUCUUCGGAUUGUAAACCUCUGUCUUUGGGGAAGAUAAUGACGGUACCCAAGGAGGAAGCCACGGCUAACUACGUGCCAGCCGCCGC